UGGUGCAAAAGUAAUUGCGGUUUUUGCCAUUAAAAGUAAUGGCAAAAACUGCAAUUGCUUUUGCACC
rnacentral:miRNA from 1 species